UACGUAGGGUGCAAGCGUUGUCCGGAAUUAUUGGGCGUAAAGAGCUCGUAGGCGGUCUGUCGCGUCGGCUGUGAAAACUCGGGGCUCAACUCCGAGCUUGCAGUCGAUACGGGCAGGCUAGAGUUCGGCAGGGGAGACUGGAAUUCCUGGUGUAGCGGUGAAAUGCGCAGAUAUCAGGAGGAACACCGGUGGCGAAGGCGGGUCUCUGGGCUGACACUGACGCUCAUGCACGAAGGCGUGGGGAGCAAACAGG
rnacentral:rRNA from 1 species